rnacentral:tRNA from 1 species
GCGCACGUAGCUCAGUUGGAUAGAGCACGAGCCUUCUAAGCUUGGGGUCGGGGGUUCGAAUCCCUCCGUGCGCG